GAUGAACGCUGGCGGCGUGCUUAACACUUGCAAGUCGAACGAAGCACUUAAAUUUGAUUCUUCGGAUGAAGAUUUUUGUGACUGAGUGGCGGACGGGUGAGUAACGCGUGGGUAACCUGCCUCAUACGGGGGGAUAACAGUUAGAAAUGACUGCUAAUACCGCAUAAGCGCACGGUGUCGCAUGACACAGUGUGAAAAACUCCGGUGGUAUGAGAUGGACCCGCGUCUGAUUAGCUAGUUGGCGAGGUAACGGCCCACCAAGGCGACGAUCAGUAGCCGACCUGAGAGGGUGAUCGGCCACAUUGGGACUGAGACACGGCCCAAACUCCUACGGGAGGCAGCAGUGGGGAAUAUUGCACAAUGGGGGAAACCCUGAUGCAGCGACGCCGCGUGAAGGAAGAAGUAUUUCGGUAUGUAAACUUCUAUCAGCAGGGAAGAAAAUGACGGUACCUGACUAAGAAGCCCCGGCUAACUACGUGCCAGCAGCCGCGGUAAUACGUAGGGGGCAAGCGUUAUCCGGAUUUACUGGGUGUAAAGGGAGCGUAGGCGGUCUGACAAGUCAGAAGUGAAAGCCCGGGGCUCAACUCCGGGACUGCUUUUGAAACUGCCGGACUAGAUUGCAGGAGAGGUAAGUGGAAUUCCUAGUGUAGCGGUGAAAUGCGUAGAUAUUAGGAGGAACACCAGUGGCGAAGGCGGCUUACUGGACUGUAAAUGACGCUGAGGCUCGAAAGCGUGGGGAGCAAACAGGAUUAGAUACCCUGGUAGUCCACGCCGUAAACGA
rnacentral:rRNA from 1 species